GCAGUCGAGCGAAUCUUAAGGUGCUUGCACCUUUUGGUUAGCGGCGGACGGGUGAGUAACACGUGGGCAACCUGCCUGUAAGACUGGGAUAACUUCGGGAAACCGGAGCUAAUACCGGAUAAUCCUUUUCCUCUCAUGAGGAAAAGCUGAAAGUCGGUUUACGCUGACACUUACAGAUGGGCCCGCGGCGCAUUAGCUAGUUGGUGAGGUAACGGCUCACCAAGGCGACGAUGCGUAGCCGACCUGAGAGGGUGAUCGGCCACACUGGGACUGAGACACGGCCCAGACUCCUACGGGAGGCAGCAGUAGGGAAUCUUCCGCAAUGGACGAAAGUCUGACGGAGCAACGCCGCGUGAGCGAUGAAGGCCUUCGGGUCGUAAAGCUCUGUUGUUAGGGAAGAACAAGUACCGGAGUAACUGCCGGUACCUUGACGGUACCUAACCAGAAAGCCACGGCUAACUACGUGCCAGCAGCCGCGGUAAUACGUAGGUGGCAAGCGUUGUCCGGAAUUAUUGGGCGUAAAGCGCGCGCAGGCGGUCCUUUAAGUCUGAUGUGAAAGCCCACGGCUCAACCGUGGAGGGUCAUUGGAAACUGGGGGACUUGAGUACAGAAGAGGAAAGCGGAAUUCCACGUGUAGCGGUGAAAUGCGUAGAGAUGUGGAGGAACACCAGUGGCGAAGGCGGCUUUCUGGUCUGUAACUGACGCU
rnacentral:rRNA from 1 species